rnacentral:piRNA from 1 species
UAUUUAACACUUGUUGAAAUU